GGUGGCUCAGCGGUAGAGUGCUUGCUUUGCAUGCAUGAGGUCCUGGGUUCAAUUCCUCAGCACCA
rnacentral:tRNA from 1 species